GUGGUGUCUCAGCAAUAAUUCUCUGCUCCCAGGCAUGAGUCCUUGGCUUCUUACCUCAAAAGCAUAGUAGUCUUCACGGUGGGAAAGUGAAGACCUUCCCCAGGGAUGACCCUUCCAAGCCUUUCCACCUCACAUCGUUGCUAGUCUGCAAAGCUGGCAUGACCCACAUCAUCAGUGAAGUGGACAGGCAGGAUCCAAGGUGAUCAAAAAGAAGUUGUGUAAGGUGUAACCAUUGCUGAGACACCACCAAUGCUGGCUGUGGGCAUUGUGAGACAGGUGGAAAUCCUUUGUAGGCCCUCUGCACCUUCAAGACUGUCUUUCCCUCACACAUCAGUGACAAGUAUAAAAGGUAUUUCUACAAAAACACAGAAAUGUAAAGAGAAGGCCUUCACCAAUACUGCAAGAAAUGGCAAGACAGCAUAGGCAAGAGACCACUGUAGGAGGACUUCAAUAACACAAAGAAUCACUGCCAAGGCAUCCACAUUAGUUGCCACCAACAGAUAUGUGUGCUCCCUCUGCUCCAGAAGAAGGUCAGCUUAAUGGAGAUGCCAGCUGAGUAUGUCACAGAGGCUGAGAAACUACACUGGGCCCUAGGGAGACUGUAAGAGAAAGAUGAGAUGAUAUCAUCAGGGUGACCAAAGGAAAUGCUACAAAGAGGACUCUAAUUGCUGGCCUGAAAAGAAGCUACUCUGUAAAACCCACCUAGGGUUAUCCAAGUUUUCUUGUAUUAGAGCCUGGCACCCUCCCUGUGUGACCUUCUCUGUAGCUUGAGCCAGCCAAAAGGACUAUCAUCUUAAAAAUCUAUAAGAUUUAUCAGGGGUAGCUUAUCAAGGGUGGCAAGCUGAUCAAGAACAAUGUUUCUGCAUGUUCAAAUAUGAUCUAUCUUACUAGAGCCUCAACUUACUCGGGGGCAUUGUCAGUUAUGUUGAAAUGACCAGUGACUUUGUGCUGCUGAAUGGCUGUGUGGUAGGAACCAAGAGGCAAAGGUUUCUGCAAAACCCUGCUGGUAUAAACCAAAUGAUGAGCUCUGGAGGAAACACAUGAACUUAUUUGACGCCAUCUCAGGAUUAUUGAUGGUCAUUUCCAGACCACAUAAGAGAAGACAGCAUUCAUGGGACCACCCAAGAAAGACCAGAUUGUCAAUGAAGAAGGUGCU
rnacentral:lncRNA from 1 species